UCCCUGGUGGUCCAGCGGUUAAGACUCUACACUUUCAACGCAGGGGGCACUGGUUCAAUCCCUGGUCAGGGAA
rnacentral:tRNA from 1 species